rnacentral:rRNA from 1 species
UACAGAGGUCUCAAGCGUUGUUCGGAUUCAUUGGGCGUAAAGGGUGCGCAGGCGGCGCGGUAAGUCGGGUGUGAAAUCUUGGAGCUUAACUCCGAAACUGCAUUCGAUACUGCCGUGCUUGAGGACUGGAGAGGAGACUGGAAUUUACGGUGUAGCGGUGAAAUGCGUAGAUAUCGUAAGGAAGACCAGUGGCGAAGGCGGGUCUCUGGACAGUUCCUGACGCUGAGGCACGAAGGUCAGGGGAGCAAACGGG